UAGGGAAUCUUCCACAAUGGACGCAAGUCUGAUGGAGCAACGCCGCGUGAGUGAAGAAGGUCUUCGGAUCGUAAAACUCUGUUGUUAGAGAAGAACACGAGUGAGAGUAACUGCUCAUUCGAUGACGGUAUCUAACCAGCAAGUCACGGCUAACUACGUGCCAG
rnacentral:rRNA from 1 species